CCGCCGGGGGCCCGGGUGCUGCGGGACGUCGAGGAGCCGGCCUGGCGCGUGCUCGCGAUGGAGCCGCUGUCGGAGCUGUCCGGCUCCAUGUAGAACCGGGCGCGGAAGGCGGCCAGAGUGUCGACUUACCGAUCGAUACCGACCGCGUGCACCUCGCGUAACUGCGGAAGAGAUCGAAAGUUAGGGAGGGGAUGUAGAUUGAUUGUUCGAGAAGGUUAAGAAUGCCGAGGCUUACGUGUAGCAGAGGUUGUUGGUGAGGCUCUGCAGUGCAUCGGCACUGAAGUUGUUCUCAUCCCACAGGACAUGGUAAUGCGCGGGGCGGCUCGUGCCCUACGGAUCAUUUGAGUUAACAUCUGAAUCUGAUACAGUCUAAAAUGACAGACAUGAAGAUGUAAGUAGAUCUCGUCAUAUUUAUUUACCUUGAUGCCGGCAUGGCUGCACAGGAAGAAAUCAAACUCUGUAGGAUGGCAGAUCUUGGAGUCUACAACAGUGCCUGCAUGUCCAGGAGAGACGGUCAGAUUAGAAAAGAUAUUGGCAAGAGGAAGGUAGAAGCAAGCAACCUGAAGAAUGAUGGCAUAAGUAACAACACUCACCGGGGAGGAUGUUGCCGCUCCUGUCGACGGAGCUCUGGUCAUUGUGGUUGUGCGGAAACAGUCUGGUGUGGUGGCGCUUCUGAACCACGAUGAAAGUAACCUGCGGCUGGUAGUUGGCCUCCAGCGACGCGCAUGCCUGAGAGACAGAUGAAUUGGAUCAGAAGGGAGUGAUAAAAUUGGGGCAAAUUGUGUGUUACCUUUCGGAUGGCAUCAAGCUCAUGCAGUAGAACUUGGUAGAACUGGCCUUCGCUGACACCAUCUCUGCAAAAGGCAGACACUUUUGCGGUUUAGCCCCAAUGUGGAAGGCCAGGAUUUCAAAUGAUUGACCAGCUCACAGCUGGUAUUGAAAAAAAAUACAUUUGUCUCAAAUCACAAGCCGUAAAUUUCUGCAAGAAAGCAUACCUAUAGAACAAUAUUCUCUGAGGCUUUUCUCCAGUACAUCUUUUGAAGGAGAUAAGAAGCUCCCUGCAAAUGCAUGCCACAGAAUGUAUGACUUGUGCUCAAAAUUUGUAGGAGCAAGACUGGAGAUGGUGAGGGAUACCUGAUCAUGCCACCAUGGAUGGUUCCUCUCUGAGGAUCAUGAGUGACAUUGUACAGAUCAUCUAUCAAUUCUUGCCUGUGAGAUUGAGCAGAGACUAGGCCAGCAUACUUAGUCACCUCAGGCCAAUCUUGGGAGGCCACAACCUGCAGGGCAAAUCAAUGUUUUUUUUUUUUCCAGCAAAUAUGUUGACUGAUGCAGACAAGACCAGCCACUGAACAUUGAGUACGAGAUUGUUGGACUUACUGCAGAAAUGGAAGGGCUGCUGUCUUCACCAGGAUGGGGAUGGGUGACAUCAGCGCCGAAUAUGAUCGUUGGCUUGUCAGUAAGCAAAGGGAUGCACCUUGACACUGCAUCAGCCAGGACAGUGUUCCUUCCCCCGACCUUCGAAAACAAAAGGCCGUAUGUGUUAGAGUCGGGGACUGAAGAAAUGCACAAAACACAACAAGAAAUCCAACACCAACCUUGACGUUUAUCUUCAGAGCAAGGUUUGCCAGGAUCUGUUUGUUCAUUUUAAACACUUGCUUUGUUAAACAGCACUGGGAAAUCAGCCCAAGGUCGAUUUCGCAGACACGCUUCAAGUCACCUGAUACCGGCACAGUAUGAGCAUUGACUUGAAGCUUCAGUUUAAUAGUGCAGAAAUCAAUAUAUAAUUGAAAUUUUAGUUACCAUAAAGCGAGCCAUUGUUAUCAGGAAGUA